rnacentral:misc_RNA from 1 species
GAUGAAGAACGUAGCGAAAUGCGACAAGUAAUGUGAAUUGCAGAAUUCAGUGAAUCAUCGAAUCUUUGAACGCACAUUGCGCCCGCCAGUAUUCUGGCGGGCAUGCCUGUUCGAGCGUCAUUUCAACCCUCAAGCCCCCGGGCUUGGUGUUGGGGAUCGGCGUGCCCUCGCGGCGCGCCGUCCCCUAAAUCUAGUGGCGGUCUCGCUGUAGCUUCCUCUGCGUAGUAGCAACACUCGCACUGGAUCGCAGCGCGGCCACGCCGUUAAACCCCCCACUUCUGAAAGUUUGACCUCGGAUCAGGUAGGAAUACCCGCUGAACUUAAGCAUAUCACUAAGCGGAGGA